rnacentral:lncRNA from 1 species
UGUGGAGGCAGGCGACCAGAGAGUCGCGAGUUCCUCGUUUUCGUCACAGUUUCCAUGCCGUUCUGCGAGACGCUUUUGGAAAGGCUUCUCUAAUGGCGCUCGUCGACGUGAUCUCCCUUCGGUUUGAAAUUCUUCAGAGAUGGGGAGAGGGGACAAUGAGAAGAGAGUGAGAGAGAGAGAGAAGGAGGAAAGGAGGGAGGAUACAAUCGUAUAUGUGAACGUUGACAAGAGAAUGAUGUUUCUUUUGUGUAUUUCGUUUGAAAUUCUUGAGAGGGGGAUGAAAUUCGUGUUCGCGUGCGUUUAUUUUUUUGAAUCGAUUGAUAUUACGCGUGCAUUUGUUUAUUGUAUUACGUAAGAUUAAUAAUUAAUAAUAUUUAUCAAUUGUAUAUAUACAAAUAAGUUGGGAUGUUUUUAAAUGUUGAAUUUAUGCGUG